ACUUUCCAAUUGGGGAAUAUCCUUUGUUGUCACAUAGGAUUAUCAUUCUGGAGCUAAUCGGAACUCAAGAGGCCAACUACUACACUUCCCUAAAUUUACAGGUUAAAAAGUCAUAGGGACGUUAUGUGAUUUACCAAAGGCGAAAGUAGGAAGUGGUGGAGCUGAGAUACACGCCCGGAUGUGCAGGUCCUCCUGACUCCACAGUCAAUGCUCUUCUCACUCUACCAUGUUGCCUCCAAAUGUAUCACUUCCCAACGUAGCUUAGACAUCCUACCUUUAUCGGAGAUUUACUCCAAUGCUUCAUUUCCAGUUGACUGAUUCUCUUCUAAUCAUAGCUACAUCAAUUUUGUCAAUGCAAAAGCUUUUUUUUUUAAAAAAAGUUACUUUUUUGAGUUUAUAACCUGAUAUCUGCUAAAUUGCUUUCUAGUUUUCCCAGCAUUUUUUACUUUGGUCAAAAUUGAGUCAUUUUUCCUAGGAAUGGAUAUCCUUGGGUUUGGGUUAUACAACAAUAACUCAACUGUGGCCCCAAGAAGCUGCCCGUGAGUUAGGGGGCGUCUACCCCGGCAUGUGAAGCCCCCCCGCGGAAUGGGCGGAUGAGAACAGGGUGCUCCAGGAGCCACGAGAGCGGCUGCAGCAGGCUCUGGGAGUGCGUGAAGCUUUGUCAGACAGGGAACACGCCAAGGUCAUCCACUACAUGCCGGUCCUCGCCAGUCUUUGCACUUGGAGGACUCUGCAGGAAAGUGAGGCUGACGACUCUGGGCAGCUUUGCCUCGCUUAAACCCUAUUCAUGCCACUCUGGGCGUCACUUUGGACGUCAUUGGUGCUUCUCCGGAAAAACAACAACAACAAUGGGAGGACCAGGGCAGAAAUAGCCGCAGGACUACGAUUCCCAGAAGGCUGCGGACUGCGAUGGGUUCAUGGGACGAGACUGAGGUUUCCCAGAAUCCACCCCGGCGUAGACCAGAAGCCUCCGGGCGCGGGCACAGUCUUUGGAUUCCCGAUGGAUUCUGGGAAUCAGAGUUCGUUCCUGAAUGUGCGCAGGCGCAAUACCUGGACUAUAGGGAUUCGGGCCGGUUCUUUUGUUUUGUUUUUGUUUUUGUUUUUGUUUUGCCGCGGGGGAGUGAUUGUGAGUGAAUGUGUUAGCGUCACCGUAGCUUCUCAAGACUUUAAUGAAAAAGUGAGAAAGUGGUGAAGAGAAUGGCCUCUGAAGCCUAACAGCCUUGUCCCAGAAAUUGUUAACACUGCAAGAUGUGGUUGUAGACUUCACCCAAGAGGAAUGGAGCCUGUUGGAUCCUGCUGAGAAGGACCUUUUCUG